rnacentral:rRNA from 1 species
UACGAAGGGUGCAAACGUUGCUCGGAAUUAUUGGGCGUAAAGCGCACGUAGGCGGUAUUGCAAGUCGGAUGUGAAAUCCCUCGGCUCAACCAAGGAAGUGCAUCCGAAACUGCCGUACUUGAGUACUUAAGAGGAUCGCGGAAUUCCCGGUGUAGAGGUGAAAUUCGUAGAUAUCGGGAGGAACACCAGUGGCGAAGGCGGCGAUCUGGGAAGAUACUGACGCUGAGGCGCGAAAGCUAGGGUAGCAAACGGG